rnacentral:rRNA from 1 species
AGCGAACGCUGGCGGCAGGCUUAACACAUGCAAGUCGAACGGGCGUAGCAAUACGUCAGUGGCAGACGGGUGAGUAACGCGUGGGAACGUACCUUUUGGUUCGGAACAACCCAGGGAAACUUGGGCUAAUACCGGAUAAGCCCUUACGGGGAAAGAUUUAUCGCCGAAAGAUCGGCCCGCGUCUGAUUAGCUAGUUGGUGUGGUAACGGCGCACCAAGGCGACGAUCAGUAGCUGGUCUGAGAGGAUGAUCAGCCACAUUGGGACUGAGACACGGCCCAAACUCCUACGGGAGGCAGCAGUGGGGAAUAUUGGACAAUGGGGGCAACCCUGAUCCAGCCAUGCCGCGUGAGUGAUGAAGGCCUU